GGGAAGGUGGCCGAGCGGUCUAAGGCGCCACGUUAAGGAGAUAUCCUUGAUGCUUCAUUCCUUCUCCCCUCCUCCGCGGGUCGGAAGGAAAACAUGAUUCCGUGGUCUCGUAAGAGGCGUGGGUUCAAAUCCCACCCUUCUCA